AUGUAUGGUGAGCCGGUUUGGAGACAUAAGCAUCGCACAUGGAAAUGUUUCCGUGAUCUACAUGCUAAGGGUAAUUUGCAUUGGGUUGUGAUAGGGGAUCUAAAUGAGAUUUUGUAUUCAUCAGAGAAAGAGGGAGGUAAUGCGCGACCAUUAUCAUAUAUGUCUGCGUUUAGGGAUUGUUUGGCUGAUUGUUCUCUGGAAGACCUUGAUUAUAUUGGCAAUAAAUUCACUUGGAAGAGGGGGAGGAUCAGAGAGAGACUGCAUAGAUCUCUAGGGAACAUGGCAUGGGCGGGUAUGUUUCCUGAUGCAGCUGUGCAUCAUCUUACUAUGGGUGGUUCGGAUCACAGGACGAUUAUG
rnacentral:rRNA from 1 species